UACGUAGGGUGCGAGCGUUAAUCGGAAUUACUGGGCGUAAAGCGUGCGCAGGCGGCGCGUUAAGUCUGCUGUGAAAGCCCCGGGCUCAACCUGGGAAUGGCAGUGGAUACUGGCAAGCUGGAGUGCGGUAGAGGGUAGUGGAAUUCCCGGUGUAGCGGUGAAAUGCGUAGAGAUCGGGGAGGAACACCAGUGGCGAAGGCGGCUACCUGGACCAGCACUGACACUCAGACACGAAAGCGUGGGGAGCAAACAGG
rnacentral:rRNA from 1 species